AAAACUGAAUUAACAUGAUGAUUUUAAAUUUGUAUUGUUUAUUUCUUGUCAUUGCGACUUUGACGCAGCUGUUGUCAUGACAACAGAUAACAAAACAUGUUUUGUUGAAGGAUUAUUGAUGAAUAAUUUUCCACAAAAAAAUUGGAUUUUAACCACGAUAGGAAAAUGAGAACCUGCGCCUAUCCGUUUAAACCGAUUGUAGAACUUAUGGAAAGAUAUGGCGAUCUGAGUAUGCCCACUGAAGGGCCCCAAGAAAGAGCCAACAAUAGUCAACGGUGGGUGGAACUAACGGACACGCGAACGUGAAAUGCUGAUGCCACCGGCGACACGAAAACUACUGAGAAAUUGAGAAAAGUGUGGAGUGACUUUAAACAGCAAGAAGAAGGCAACUCGCAUACAGAGCUGCCAAGGGAACACUGGACUGGUGGCGGUCCAGGUUCUUCCCUGAAGCCAAAGGAUUUAGAGCAGAGUGCUUGUAAAUAACAACUUGUAAAUUAAAUCCAUAAUAAAGACCUAGGGUAACUGGAUGGA